rnacentral:rRNA from 1 species
GACGAACGCUGGCGGCGUGCCUAAUACAUGCAAGUAGAACGCACAGUUUAUACCGUAGCUUGCUCCACCAUAAACUGUGAGUUGCGAACGGGUGAGUAACGCGUAGGUAACCUGCCUGGUAGCGGGGGAUAACUAUUGGAAACGAUAGCUAAUACCGCAUAAUAUUAAUUAUUGCAUGAUAAUUGAUUGAAAGAUGCAAUUGCAUCACUACCAGAUGGACCUGCGUUGUAUUAGCUAGUAGGUGAGGUAACGGCUCACCUAGGCGACGAUACAUAGCCGACCUGAGAGGGUGAUCGGCCACACUGGGACUGAGACACGGCCCAGACUCCUACGGGAGGCAGCAGUAGGGAAUCUUCGGCAAUGGACGAAAGUCUGACCGAGCAACGCCGCGUGAGUGAAGAAGGUUUUCGGAUCGUAAAGCUCGGUUGUAAGAGAAGAACGGGUGUGAGAGUGGAAAGUUCACACUGUGACGGUAUCUUACCAGAAAGGGACGGCUAACUACGUG